rnacentral:lncRNA from 1 species
AGAAGGACAGCAGCUACAACCGGAUCAAGAGUUUGGUGACGGAAGAGCUGAAACAGUACUUCAGGCCGGAGUUCUUGAACAGAUUGGACGAGAUGAUCGUAUUCAGGCAGCUCACGAAGCUGGAGGUGAAGGAGAUUGCCGAUAUAAUGCUCAAGGAGGUCUUCGAGCGUCUUAAAACCAAGGAAAUCGAGCUUCAGGUGACGGAGAGAUUCAGAGAUAGGGUGGUCGACGAAGGAUACAACCCGAGCUACGGAGCUAGGCCUCUCCGAAGAGCCAUCAUG